UGGACAGAUUAUUGUAUUCGACUGUAUUCACGGCGUGAAACAGGGGAUUACACUAUUUUUAAACGGAAAGUGAAUCAGUUAACAUAAUAGACUCCU
rnacentral:pre_miRNA from 1 species